rnacentral:lncRNA from 12 species
AUGUUGCAGGGGCAGCAUCCCCAUGUCCAUGCAGAGGGAACAAGAGUUUUCUGGCCUUCUGCUCUAGGUCUAUGUAGUUUUAUGGUGUUCUUGGAAGACCACCACCUUUUUUCUCAGUCCACAGCUUUUUUUUCCCCCCUCUGUUCCCUGGAUAAAUGUAGUGCCAUGAAUAAAAUAAACACUGCUGUCAGUCUCUCUGCAUAUUUUUUCAGUGUGCUUCAUUAUACAGGAUUCUUUCAAAAGAAAUGUAACUCUCAGUCUUGGCUGGUUCCCAGCACCAUUAAAGGUCUGCUGGCACUUUUCUUGAGAAUCUGGCGUUUUGCUUCUCUUUUUUAUAGAAAUUCAUUUCACCUUGUGCUCUGUAGAAUGUCUGCUGGCACUUUUCUUGAGAAUCUGGCGUUUUGCUUCUCUUUUUUAUAGAAAUUCAUUUCACCUUGUGCUCUGUAGAAUGUCUGCUGCCCUUCAGCCCAGCUGUGGCUGCAUAGUAACCCCCUCUCUGACACUUGCAGAUUGCAGAUGCCCUUGUAAGUUUUUGGAGGUGAAAGGAGCCGGUGACUUCUUCACCUUCUUCACCGCCAAACUGGACCAGUAGAUGAUACAGAAUGAGAUGUCAGUCCCAAAUCCUGGAUUGAAAAAAAUAAAAUAAAAUAAAAUAGUUCUGUGGAUGGCUCAUUGUUAAA